rnacentral:rRNA from 1 species
UAACACGUGGGGAACCUGCCCCAUAGUCUGGGAUACCACUUGGAAACAGGUGCUAAUACCGGAUAAGAAAGCAGAUCGCAUGAUCAGCUUUUAAAGGGCGGCGUAAGCUGUCGCUAUGGGAUGGCCCCGCGGUGCAUUAGCUAGUUGGUAAGGUAACGGCUUACCAAGGCGACGAUGCAUAGCCGAGUUGAGAGACUGAUCGGCCACAUUGGGACUGAGACACGGCCCAAACUCCCUACGGGAGGCAGCAGCG